UAAUACAUAAGUAACCUGCCCUAGACAGGGGGAGUAACUAUUGGAAACGAUAGCUAAGACCGCAUAGGUACGGACACUGCAUGGUGACCGUAUUAAAAGUGCCUCAAAGCACUGGUAGAGGAUGGACUUAUGGCGCAUUAGCUGGUUGGCGGGGUAACGGCCCACCAAGGCGACGAUGCGUAGCCGACCUGAGAGGGUGACCGGCCACACUGGGACUGAGACACGGCCCAGACUCCUACGGGAGGCAGCAUG
rnacentral:rRNA from 1 species